rnacentral:lncRNA from 1 species
UGGAGGUGGAGGCUGCAGUGAGCUCAGAUUGCACCACCGCACAACAGCCUGGGCAGCGGAGCCAGAGUCUGUCCCAAAAAAAUAAGAAGUUUUAUAUUAUGUGUAAUUUUAUAUUUCUGCUAUAUUAUCGAAAAAUUGGGGGUGUGCAGUUUCUUUAUAACAGUUUAUUAUACUUGGAUAUUUUUUAAAUCAUAGAAGAGUUGGAAUACAAGUACAAGGAAAACUCCCCAGUGUUCACUACCAAAAUGUGCCAGCUGUUUUCAUUUGUUCCAUUUGUUUAAUACUCUCGAACCAAAUUCACCUACUAUUUACGUUUUGCUCCAUUUUUGAAUCAUUCUCUCUGUAAAUAUAAACAUAAUGGAUUUUUUUCCUAAACCAUUUGAGACGCUGGAGACACCUAAACACUUUGCUGUGUAUUUACUCUUAGGAACCACACCGUAGAAUGGUCAAAAUCCGGACCCAGCCCACACUCCAGAUUUAACUCGCUUCAAAUGUCUUUUAUACCUUUUUUUCCCUGUUGAGGAUUCAGUCUAGGAUGACGCACUGCAUUUGUUGUUGUGUUUCUUGUUUUGUUUUGUUUUUUUCUGUUUUUGAGACGGAGUUUUGCUCCGUCGCCCAGUCUGGAGUACAAAGGUGCGAUCUCGGCUGACCGCAACCUCUGCCUACCCGGUUCAAGAGAAUCGCUUGAACCCGGGAGGCAGAGUUUGCGGUGAGCCGAGAUCCCGCCAUUCAUUGCACUCCAGCCUCGGAAACUAGCAAAACUCCAUCUUAAAAAAAAAGAGGAGGCCGGGUGCAGUGGCUCUGCACAACACUUUGGGAGGCCGAGGCAGGUGGAUCACCUGAGGUCAGAAAUCCGAGACCAGCCUGGCCAACAUGGUGGAACCCCAUCUCUACUAAAAAUGCAAAAAGUAGCCGGGCGUGGUAGCGGGCCCCAGUAAUCCCAGCUGAGGUGGGAGAAUUGCUUGAACCCGGGAGGCCAAGGCUGCAGUGAGCCAAGAUCGCACCACUGCACUCUAGCGUGGGUGACAGAUCAAGACCUUGUCUCAAAAAACAAGAAGAAGAAAAACUACUUUUUUUUUUUCAGAUGGGGUCUCACUCUCACCCAGUCUGGAGUGCAGUGGCGCCAUCUCAGCUCAUUGCAGCCUCUGCCUCCUGGGCUUGAGUGAUCUUCCCACCUCGACCUCCUGAGUAGCUGAACCACAAGUGCAUGCCUGGCCAAUUUUUGUAUUUUUGGUAGAAAUGGAGUUUCACCAUGUUGCCCAGGCUGGUCUCAAAACUGGCCUCCCAAAGUGCUGGGAUUACAGACACAACUGGCCUACCUGCAGGAUUUUCAGUUUAUGGACAUGACUGACUGGAGACAUGGAGAAGCUGUUGUUAUUGGAGAUUUUUAUUACUCGCAUUUCCUGAGCGAUGGGGACACUCACUGUGGGGAAAAGCAAGAGAGAUCAGAUUGUUACUGUGUCUGUGUAGAAAGAAGUAGACAUAGGAGACUCCAUUUUGUUCUGUACUAAGAAAAAUUCUUCUGCCUUGGGAUCCUGUUGAUCUGUGACCUUACCCCCAACCCCGUGCUCUCUGAAACAUGUGCUACGUCCACUCAGGGUUAAAUGGAUUAAGGGCGGUGCAAGAUGUGCUUUGUUAAACAGAUGCUUGAAGGCAGCACGCUCCUUAAGAGUCAUCACCACUCCCUAAUCUCAAGUACCCAGGGACACAGAAACUGCGGAAGGCCGCAGGGUCCUCUGCCUAGGAAAGCCAGGUAUUGUCCAAGGUUUCUCCCCAUGUGAUAGUCUGAAAUAUGGCCUCGUGGGAAGGGAAAGACCUGACCGUCCCCCAGCCCGACACCCGUAAAGGGUCUGUGCUGAGGAGGAUUAGUAUAAGAGGAAGGAAUGCCUCUUGCAGUUGAGACAAGAGGAAGGCAUCUGUCUCCUGCCUGUCCCUGGGCAAUGGAAUGUCUCAGUAUAAAACCCGAUUGUAUGUUCCAUCUACUGAGAUGGGGAAAAACCGCCUUAGGGCUGGAGGUGGGACCCGCGGGCAGCAAUACUGCUUUGUAAAGCAUUGAGAUGUUUAUGUGUAUGCAUAUCUAAAGCACAGCACUUAAUCCUUUACAUUGUCUAUGAUGCAAAGACCUUUGUUCACGUGUUUGUCUGCUGACCCUCUCCCCACAAUUGUCUUGUGACCGUGACACAUCCCCCUCUUUGAGAAACACCCACAAAUGAUCAAUAAAUACUAAGGGAACGCAGAGGCUGGCGGGAUCCUCCAUGUGCUGAACGCUGGUUCCCCGGGUCCCCUUAUUUCUUUCUCUAUA